rnacentral:rRNA from 1 species
UACAGAGGUCUCAAGCGUUGUUCGGAUUCAUUGGGCGUAAAGGGUGCGUAGGCGGCGCGGUAAGUCGGGUGUGAAAUCUCGGAGCUUAACUCCGAAACUGCAUUCGAUACUGCCGUGCUUGAGGACUGGAGAGGAGACUGGAAUUUACGGUGUAGCGGUGAAAUGCGUAGAUAUCGGAAGGAACAUCAGUGGCGAAAGCGGGUUGCUGGGCCGACACUGACGCUGAGGCGCGAAAGCCAGGGGAGCGAACGGG